ensembl:misc_RNA 7SK 7SK RNA
UGAUUGGGAGGGUUGCUCUUUGCUCUCUCAUCAGUGACUCCAUGUUCCUUCUUGAAGCUGUGAAUUAGGUUGAAGAGGACAAUCUUCCCCUCCAAAGGAGGACUGUUCUUCAGUCAAGGGUAUGCAAAUAGCCAUGCUCCUCUGUGAAUGCUCCAGGAGAUGGAGAAUCUCCAUGGAAUGGGUAAAGACACAGAACACCUAAGAAUUUAAUGACUUCCUU